CCCUAAUACAGGAAAUAGAGAGGCCGGUUGAUGCACAGCAAGAACCCAGAAAGAGCGGUGUGGAAUUGAACACAUCAUCGGUCUUUUUUGUGACAUGUUGACUGAGGCAUAAAUGUUUGGCCCAGCAUUUUUCACUUACUCUUCUUCCAAGUUGUGCCAAAGAGAAAGUGUGGAGAGCCCUGAAACCAAACACUGUCUGAGAGUGAUGCCCUGCUCAAACCAGCUUCAUACCAUUUCAAUCAUGGAUUGCUGGAAUUCUGCCUAAUCCAACUCCCUCAAACACCGUGCAAUGAUUCCUCCAUAAGGAAUUCCGUAAGGCUGUGGAAUGUUAUCUGAUCUCAACUUGAAUGGUUCACAUUCCAGAGAAGCUUCCUCAACCCAGGAGAAAUCUCAGGAAUUUCACAUGGCAUCUUGUCUAACAGAGUGUGUCCCACAGCACUCUGUGUUAACCCGUCAUCAGUCCAUUGCAGUUUGGUACGUCACAGUGUGUGCAGGGGCCAGUAUCUUGGUAGAUCAGUGCUGUACGUCAGUGUUUGUGUCUCUAACACAUUCAUUCUGGAGACACGAGGAGGCCAACAGUUACUCCCCUUCAAUCACUCAGUGUUGCUGACCUGUCUUUUUUAACUUCAGCCCAGUGCCUUCCUCAGCCAUUUCAGUGGCAGGAUAAGGGUUCUGAGGAAGGAUCACCAGACUCGAAACAUUAACUCUGACUUUUUUUGUCUUCACAGAUGCUGCCGGACCUGCUGAGCUUUUCCAGAAACUUUGUUUUUUUUUCCUGAUUUACAGCAUCCUCAGUUCUUUUGGUUUUUAUUUGGCAGGAUAAGAGUCAUUGCUAUGGCUCUGGCCUCACAUAUAGAUCAGAUGGGGCAAGUGAUGAUUGAAUAGCAGUCGAGUGUUUUCUUGUUUUGCACACGGUGGGUGAUUUAACUCCGUGAAGGCUGGUAUCCCAUCACCAAGUUACCUUUUAUUCACAUGUGCAUUGUCCAUGACACAGCUAGUUCAGAACCAACUCCUAGAGUGAGCAGAAUCCCUGACAUUGCUGCUUCUGUCAGUCAGCCAAGGCUCCCUGAUUGGCCCAGAUUAACAGCUCCAGUGAGGGAACUCAGAUUCUAUGAGGUCGGCCUGACUGACCUUGUUCCAGUCCCUUCAGGCAGCAGUGUCUGGGGAAUCACUCCUGGUGCAUUAGGGACAGACUGAAACAGUGAUCAUCGAGUUUGGAGAUGCGUGUUUGUAAUACCUGUCUUUGUGAAUAAGCUGUCUAAGUAUGUAAUGAUGAAGCUCCAGCUCCAUCCUCCACUGCCUGGCUUUUUUGGAUCUGUGCAGGAAAAGCUGCAGACACUAGGAAUGUAGGCAGGUUUAGACAACAAUCUGAUUGCUUCAUGGUCAGCAAUGGAAGCAUUAAAGACCCCAACUCUUUCUGGAUCAUUCCACUGGACUCUUUAGACAGUAACAAUAGCAGGUAGAAUGACCUGAUGCAAGGUUAAAUUGUAGGAAGCUAUGUGACAAUAUGUGUGACUGUGAGUGAGUGAAUCCUCCAUUUCCUGUAGUUGUUUGUCACCCAGUGUCUUUGGACCGUGUGUGAAAUGCUGGGAGUAUUUUGUUCCUGUCACUGCCUACACUCUCAGUUUUACCUGAUGUUUUCUAACUGGGAAUCGAUAUUGAGGCUUGGAAAACAACAGGUUUAUCUGGGAAUGCAAGUUGAGUAAUUUUGUUAGCUGGAGCUCGCUGCAGACAGGCUCGUGACUAUCUAUUUGGAUUUGUAAUCUCUCUCGCUCUCUCUGUCUCUCACACUCACUCUCUCUGCCUCUCACUUUCUCUUUCUAUGUCUCCUUUUCUCUUUCUCUCUCUCUGUCUCUCAUGCUCUCUCCCUGUGUCCCUCUGUCUCUCUCUCUCUCUCAUUCACACACUGUCUCUCUCUCCCUCACUCACUCUCUCUGUCUCUUAGGCCAGAGGGGAAGGAGCAGCCUCAAAGGUUCCUAGCAACAAGUAUCUGGAGCAGGUAUGUCGUCUGCUGGAUAAAAUCGCAGAUCUUCAAGAAAGGAACUCACUGCUGAAAGAAGACAAACUACAAAUGGAAGAGAAGCUGAAGCAGAAAGAGAAGCAAUUGGAGCUCCUUCAACAUUACUGUAGCUGUGGUUCAACAGCAGUGUUCCUACAAUGGGCAGGACAGCCUGGGCAUGGGGAGACUCAACCGCUCACCCACAGCUUCAAUGCUCAAUACCAGCUCCCUGACUCACUGCAGCAUCCUGGGCAUAAUCAACACUCCUCCUUACAGAAGAGGGAGCAGUGAGUUUCCCCUGACUGAGUAUGACUCCUGUCUUUCUGAGAAUAAGGAGCAUCUGACCAGUAAUAUUCAUCACGGGAUGCAGAUGCACAACACUGCUCAAGAUACCACGACUCCUCAGGCUGGCUGGGGUCGAAUGAGGGAAAUACUGAAUCGCCUGAAGGAUAUGUCCAGGACAAGAAGGACUUUUGUGACCAGGUUUUAAAGGCUCUAGGGAUCAGAAGCACGGACAGAAACACCAAGAAAUUUAAAAGAAGAAUUUCUACCAGAAAAGAACAAAGUCCACCAAUCAGCUAUGGAAAUGAAGAACUGCCAUCAUUUCACAGAUAAUAGCGUGUUUCAUCAUUGCUGAAAUGCGAGAUAAUUUAACUCGCUCUUGUGAUCUGGACUUUUCACCUCGGAAUUUUGUUCGCACUCUAUUUUUAUCAGCCAUAAUAGCUGUGUCAAACUGUCUGUAUUUUGUCAUGAAUGUUUGUGUUUGUAUUUUUGUACAUUUGGGAUUUUUGUGCAGUGUUGUUUUAGUCACAUAGUCGUAGAUUAGUAAUCAUUUUCUCUCUCAUUUAUUGAAGCUGUGUGUGUUCACAAUAAAUAGGUAUCUUCUGUGAAA